ensembl:lncRNA
GCGGGGCCUCGGUUCCCAAAUUUGCCCCAGAGCGCGGUUGACAGGGUGCAGCCGGGAGAGGCCGCGCUGGGACGGAGAUAUAGUGGAAACGUUCCUGGAUGUUCAGGGCGCGCCGUCCCACCGGCUGCUGGCCAGAGCCCCGGGAAGGCGAGGAUGCACCUUCUCCCCUGCCUUGGAAAGACUGCUUGAUAUCCUGAGAAAUCUGCUUUCUGAUCAAAUUGAAAUAAUCCGAUGCAACAACUGAAUUGUCAGCAGGGGCUUCUGCCCAAGCACCAGUUGGAAAUUUCAGAGUCAUUGUCAAGAUCAGCCGCUCAGACCAUCCUGUCACCUAAGAUGUGGCUGGGAAUAAUGGCCUCAAGUUGGCCACACUCCAGUCUUCAGUACCUCACUAGGACCACCUGGCAGGCAGAAGAAUACCCCCUUUCCAAAGAGCGGCUCCCUGUCUCUCACAGCACUGCCUGAGCUCCACCUCCUGUCAGAAUUGCUGCUGCAUUCAAUUCUCAUAGGAGCGCAAACCUGACUGUGAACUGUGCAUGCGCAGGAUCUAGGUUGCCUCUCUUGUGAGAAUCUACUGCCUGAUGGAUGAUCUAAAGUGGUGCCGAAAUGAUGAUGCUCGCAUUGGGGCACGGAAUUGCUACACAUUGCAAACAUAUACCAAUAAAAAGAUAAACACUCCACUUCAUGGAAAAAGUGUCUCCCAUGACUGGUGCCAAGAAGUUUGGGGAUUGCUGCCCUACAGUGUCCACAAAGAUGAGGAGCACAUAUGCAUAUAUGGAGGGCCAGCUGUACUCUUCAGUGUGAAUGGAAAAUAUUGAGGGCAUUGCAAUCAAUCCAUCCAGCCGGCAUAGAGCAAAAUAAGCAGAGAACGUGAUUUUGGGGCCUUUAAUUUCUCUGCAUUUUAACCCAUAAAAACAAGUGCUGGGGAUCACUGGGCCUUGGGCAUGUGAGGCAAGACCACUGGUUCUAUCCCAGGUCUUUUUUAUGGAGCUCAGGUUCAUCACAGACUUGUGGGUCUUGGCCCACUGAAUCUCAACAGACCACCGGGGAUCCCUCCACCAAGAUGAAGCCAGAGUGGCACUGACAUCUUGGACAGACCAGCCUGCUUGGAAACCUACCUAGCCUAGCUCUGGGCUCCUUCUUCUCACCCACAAAUAUUAAUGACUUCUUUAUGUAAAAGGAACGGCUGUAUCUUUUCUGCCAACCUACUUCCAUUUGGCUUGAGGGCCUGUGGAAGAGCAGCUUGACUGCUCUGAGGUUGUUCCUACCCUUCAUGGGCUGUGCGAUGGGGAACAAGCCUAUUUGAUGUGGUUCUUCCCUCCUCAGCUUUUGGCCUACCUGUCAAUCAUCCAGACACACCUAGAGCUUUGGUAAUCUGCUAGGCGUUCUUACCCAAGUCAAAUUGACGCAUCACAAUUAGUGAUCACCACAUGGCCCCUGGAUCUGGUUCCAGGCAAAAGAAGUACAGUAGUAGAAGCAGCUCUAGGGAUGGCAGCAGACUUCAUGAUGGCCCCUGGCUAGGUUUCCGGAGGAUGUGACGUUGAUACCAGCAGGGUUUUCAGGCUGCAGUGGCAUGAGUGGCCAGUGGACUUCCCAGGUCUUCUUCAGAUUCAAGAUGCAGACGUCAGCAUUUCCCUUUGUAGAGAUACUGUUCCAUCGGGAAGUCAAGGUUGAUGCCACCAGAGUGGGUUUGUUUUCCUUCAUUCUUCUCCUUUAUCAAGAACUCUGAACAUUGUGGAAAUUUCCCCUUAACGUACAACAAGAAUCCAGAACAAUCCCAUAUAGAGCCCUCUCUGGGCAAAGGAAAUGACUUAUUUUACUUAACUAAUUUUCUUUCCUUCUUUCUUUCUUUCUUUCUUUCUUUCUUUCUUUCUUUCUUUCUUUCUUUCUUUCUUUCUUUCAUCUCUCUUUUCCUUCCUCCAUCCUUCCUUCUUUCCUCUCCUUUUCUCUUUUCCCUUUUGUCUCUUUCCUUUCUCUCUCGGUCUCUCUCUCCUUUGUGUGUGUACUGGGAAUUUAACCCAGGGCCUUUGCACUGAGCUACCUCCCCAACCCUUUUUAAAAAAUGUCUUUAUUUUAAAGCACAAUCUCACUAGGUUGCUCAGGCUGGCCUCAAAGUCCAAGGCACAAGCGAUCCUUCAGUCUCAGCCUCCUGAGUGGCUGGAACUACAGGUGCCUGCCACUGUGCCCUACUUUUAAUUAACCUUCUACUGAAAAAUAAAGCAGAUUCGGAAAACCGUAUAAAACAAAUUAUUGUAAAGAGAACCUCUUUGUAAUUACCACCCAGGUCAAGAAAUAAAAUCAUCAGUCCCUUUGUGUCACCUCUGACCUCAGCCUUCUUCCAUCUACUAAGAGUUAC